rnacentral:rRNA from 1 species
AGUUGGUGGAGUGAUUUGUCUGGUUAAUUCCGUUAACGAACGAGACCCCUGCCUGCUAAAUAGUCCAGUGAGUGAAUUUCACUGACCAGGACUUCUUAGAGGGACGUGCGUUCUAUUAGACGCAGGAAGAUAGGGGCAAUAACAGGU